AGUAUAAGGCGCGGAAUAGGGCCACAGAGACGAGCGUAUUUAGUUACGGUGAAACGCGGUAACCUCCAUUCGCAGCAAGACCAAAUAGGCUAGCACUUUACCUUCGGGUAAUAAGGCGUGGUUCGCGCUGCUAGCGGGUAGGUUGCUUGAGCGUACAAGUAAUUGUACGCCUAGAUGAAUGACUGUCGUGCGUUGCAAAACGUAAACAGAACCCGGCUUAUCGGCCAGCUUCAAUC
rnacentral:RNase_P_RNA from 1 species